CACAGCUUGGUUUCUCUUAUAUAUGUCCCCAAAUAAAACCACACUAUCCUUUGGUUUCUCAAUGUUCCUCAAAACCACGUAAAAUCCUUCCCUACCUCGGAGCUAAUAUCUCUUUUUCUUUGUUAAAUGAUGAAGAGAGAGAUAAGAAGAAAGGGACAUUAGCACCGGGGCAGGGAAGUUUCUCUCCAAAAGCACCAUAAGAACAAGAUGCUGUUGAGCUUUAAGUCUCAUCCCAACCUCCCCAAGAAUUGGAUCAAUGUUCGACGUGAAUCUCCUGGUGGUCAUGAAUGGGACAAAUGGGUGUGCACAGAUCCCAAUGGUCAGUUAUUUUGUGGUCUUGCUAUGAUUUUUGGAUGAAUUUUGCUCAUCUUUUUAAUAACUGUUAUGAAUGUAUCAAGAUCCAUCUCCACUUGCCCAACAAUCCAAAACUUGGGCAAGCCAACACCCAUCUCUGAUUCAUUAUGUUCGUUGGGCCAAUGGCACUGGAAUCUGAGAGUUUUCAGGUUUUGAUCCUGUGUCAAUUUGACACAUCGACAAAUGGGUUUGAUGUUAAGCAUGUCCUGAAAGCCAGCUUAGAUGGUACUAAAUAUGAGCUAGGGAUCACUGGGAGGUGAUGCAGGGUUGAGAUAUGACUGGGAAUUUUAUGCAACUUCACGGUGAUCCGCGAGGAUGCAAAGGGGUAGCCGUAAAUACAUACCACAUGAGAGAUGUGAUUAGUAAUAUGGUCAGGAAAUGUAAGAAAUGUGCUUACCGGUGUGACAGGAUGAUAAAAGCAUGUUGCAUUGCUAUAUUUAAUAAACAAACAAUGAAAGAGAAAUGUAUCAAUAAAUAUACUUAGGGUUUCAUAGGACAUAGACAGCACUGGCCAACCUAAACAUCCAACAGAAGCAAUAAAACCCAAAGCACCAGGAGGGUACCCAUUUUCCCCAAACAAUACCAAGGAAUAUCAAACACUCAACUCUCAA